GACGAACGCUGGCGGCGUGCUUAACACAUGCAAGUCGAACGAAGUGGCGAACGGGUGAGUAAUACGUGAGUAACCUGCCCUCCUUUUUGGGAUAAGCCUUGGAAACGGGGUCUAAUACCGAAUAAUGGGCGUUGGGCUCGCGGCCUAGCAGCUUGGUGGUGGGGUGAUGUGCUACCCGGGCGGUGACGGGUCGCCGGCCUGAGAGGGUGACCGGCGACAUGGGGACUGAGAGACGGCCCAGAGUGCGACGUGAGGCGGCAGUGGGGGAUAGUGCACGAUGGGCGACAGCCGGAUGCAGCGAGGUCGCGUGUGGGAUGAAGGCUUUCGGGUUGUAAACCUCUUUCGCUAUCGAAAGGGUAGGUACAGAAGAAGCGCCGGCUAACUACGUGCCAGCAGCCGCGGUAAUAC
rnacentral:rRNA from 1 species